rnacentral:tRNA from 1 species
GGAACAAUAGUCAAGUGGUAAAGACACUGCUUUUUCACGGCGGUGACGAGGGUUCGACUUUCUCUUGUUCCA